GGUGAAGGUGGCUCUGCCAAGGUUGGGCUUAACCAGACCUGGAUGACCCCAGACUGGGGAUGAUCCAUGGCAGCUCAUUAAAGGAUGAUCCAGGUGUGUGAGGAGGGAUUUAUCAUCAGUGAAAGUUCCACGGUCAAGCAUCAGUGGCAGGGAUGCAGAGUGCCCAGGGGGAGGCGAAGCUCGGCGCUGUGGUGGUCCCUGGAGCCUGGCAGCGGGACAGGAUAAUUCUGCACCUGCAAAAACAUUGGUUGCUUCGUGCCUGUUUAUUGUGUGUGGGGUGAGAGGAAAAGGAGCCCUCCUGAGCUUUCCAGGGUGGAUUUGAAGUGCCUUCUGUGCUUUCCCUGUUCCCCAUGCCAGCGAUUAAGAAGAUGCUGAUGCUGUUCUGGGCUUUGGCACGUGGAGGCCAAGCUCAGAGCAUCCUGUUGGUGUGCAGGGAACAUCAGUGUGGUGAUUGAGCCCCAGUGCCCACUGAAAAAAAUUCCUGUUGUCCCAUGUUCCCAUUUAAAAUCUCUGCUAAACCCCCAACCUGACAGCAAAAAACAUAUAAUAAAUGUGAGGCUUAAAUAAUGUUUUAAUGCUUGCUGGGAUGGGGUGUUUGAACUGCCUUGAUAUGUUAAGCUAUAUAAUUUUUAAAAAAGAAAUUUGUUAAUAACCUAUUAAAGGUUAUUAAAAAACCCUAUUUCUCUCUUAAUUUCUCAUUUAAAUCCAGAAUGGAUGGACAGCAAUGGAAAAUCUUCCCUGGCUGUUGGCUCCU